rnacentral:rRNA from 1 species
GACGAACCGUGCGAACGUUGUUCGGAAUCACUGGGCUUAAAGGGCGCGUAGGCGGGCUGUUUAGUCGGGGGUGAAAUCGUUCGGCCCAACCGGACAAGGGCCUCCGAUACUGGCAGUCUCGAGGGAGGUAGGGGUUGGUGGAACUUCCGGUGGAGCGGUGAAAUGCGUAGAUAUCGGAAGGAACGCCGGUGGCGAAAGCGGCCAACUGGACCUCUUCUGACGGCUGAUGCGCGAAAGCUAGGGGAGCGAACGGG